UACGGAGGGUGCAAGCGUUAAUCGGAAUUACUGGGCGUAAAGGGUGCGUAGGUGGUUCGCUAAGUCCGUUGUGAAAGCCCCGAGCUCAACUUGGGAAUUGCAGUGGAUACUGGCGAGCUAGAGUGCGGUAGGGGAAGGUGGAAUUCCCGGUGUAGCGGUGAAAUGCGUAGAGAUCGGGAGGAACACCAGUGGCGAAGGCGGCCUUCUGGACCAGCACUGACACUCAAGCACGACAGCGUGGGGAGCAAACAGG
rnacentral:rRNA from 1 species